GGAAAAAUGGGAGAAGAAGGAACAGACGCACAGUGAAGAAAAGAGGGAAAUUUUGGCGAAAAUUUCAAGAUUUAAUGUGGUUGAUCGCGAUUUAAUUAGCCAGCGGGAGUGCAAGAAAUGCAAGAAACGGCUGUGUAAAGGCAAGCUCUUAACCCUCUCUUCCUGAUCUUUAAAUCCCAUGAAAGACCCCGUGAUUUCCUGUAUUUUAUCACCUCCCUUACUUUAAUUCGGCACCUUGCCUUAUUGGUUGAACUAUUAUUCAUUUGUUUUAAUUUAAAUUAAAUCUAAGCCUUCUAUAAUUUAUUCGUUGUGAACAUACGGGGGUUUGUACCGCCUCCAUUCCUUUCGGGAAUGAUGCUGAACCGGUUUGGGGACUAGGUUCCUAGACGUGAGGGUUAAUUUACGAUUUUAUUGGGUUCAUUUACAGUUUUUCUCAGAUUUAUUUAUGGUUCGGUUAGAGCUAUCGAGCAGUAGGGCAGGGGUCGGUUGUUGGUGAUGUUGGGGUAGACUAUUGUACGGCCCUGAUGUGGACCGUCGGGUGGACACUCCUUGUCACUGACCGUUGACCGGUGCCGGGCACUGCUGACUAGCUCUGCCGGUAUGUGAUUUACUGCAUGAUUAGAUACAUUGUAUUACUGUUCAUGAUUUGAUAUGCACAUGGGUACGGGAUGCAUAUUGGGAUAUCCAUUUAUUGAGAAUGCUUGGACACGGACAUUCUAGUUUGGUUAGGUUGCAUCCAGCGCGAGCAUAUGCAUGGCGUGUGGUUUACUAUGUGGGCGGAGCAUGGCCUGAUGCCUGGAUGUAUGGGCGCCUUGUAUCACGUUGAUGCUCAUUACGCCAUUGCAUUCUUAUGUGCAUUGCAUGGAUACUGAUAGUAUUUAGUUCUCGGACGGGAGUACCGUUCCGAGGGAGCCUUUGGCUCGGUUGUCGGGAGUACCGACGGAUACAGGUGACGGGAGUACCGGCCUGGGACAGCGCGCGCAGGUUUGUUGCAGAUAUUUGUUGCCUUUCAGGGCAGCGGCAGGUUGGUAUGGGACUUGGGUGCCAAGUGUCUUAUGUGGGCCCCCAAGGACCGGUAUGUGCUUUUAUUUUAUUAUGCUAUUGAGCUGUUGUGUUGUAGCGUCUCAUGGCUUGUGUGUACCUGGGGAUUUAUUCUGGGGUGAGACUUCUGGUUUUGUGUAGCCUUAUGCCUUUUCUUCCUUAUGCUUGCUGAGUCUCUCGACUCACCUUGCUUUCCAUCAUUCCAGGUAGGGGCGGCAUGGGCCAUAGCAAGGGAGUCAGCUUUAACGGCAGAGUCGGUGUGGUGUACAGGCAGUCUCGUCAAUCCCUAUCCACUCUGAUGUCUAGGUAGAAUUUACUCUAUUAUUUCGUACUGUGCCAGGUCUUUUCUCGAGUCUUGUGUAUGUCGGCACAGGAGUUUGUGUUUAUUUAUUUAUCUUGUGACCGUUGUAUUAGCGGGGUACCCAUAGUGCAUGCAUGUCUUGAGCUUUGCUUCCGCUGUUCUCA